rnacentral:lncRNA from 10 species
GAAGGAGUUGAGUGAUGGUAGAUAUCAGGCCCUGGUCUGCGGCUUGGAAGUUUCCUGUGAAUAAGAAAAACAUCAUCGCUUCUUGAGUCACAAGGAUGAUAGGAUGAGAAAAAGAAAGGACAAAGGCACCAGAGGAGGUAUGCCAAAUGGGAAACUUUUCAUCACUUUCCAGAUAAAAACUAGCAGUCUGUGAAGGCAACUGGUCUGAUUUUUCAGGUAAGAACAUAUGAGAGGCAGGCUGAGACCAAUUUUCUACCAGGCCAGCUAAUUCAUCACAAUGACAAGCUAUGGGUCAUAUGCUUUCAGGAACCAGACACUGGAACAUGUCGUCUGAUGUACAUCACACCAGGAAAUAAAAAAAGAAUUGGAAAGCCAAUGUCCAAUUAUUUACUAAAACAGAAUCCACUGGAGAGAAAUGCAAAGGCAGGUAAAAAGGCAAUCUCUUAACAUGAAAACUCACAACUGUAAAAUGAGAACCUAAACUAUACAGCGACAAACUCAGGAAAAAGUCUCCAGCUACUGCUGUCUCUCAGACUCUCACAGUAUGUGUAACCACUUCCUCCUCUGCACGGAAUCACCCCAGAAGAUCAACUCUACUAGAUCAUUUGAGGACAAUGAACAAAGUCUCAAGACUGAAUUCCCACAGAAAACAUUCUCAUGAAACCACCCAAUAUUCUGGUGAAGUUAAAGAAGGGCAUGUGUUCGGAGACAACCAGAAGCAGCAAUGCUCAAAACCACAAAACUCUGGAUUGCCGACUCUGCACAUCCUGGUUCCUCUAGAUACAGUUCAGUGGCACAUUCACAAAUAAACGUUUUCAAAAACUGCCCUCAGGCAGUUCUAGAGAAAUGCUUUGACUUGCCUAAUGGUAUAAUGUCAAGAAAGGAAGACGAGCACUGAUCAUUCAUACUCAUUAUUACAGUCACAGGGCACUGUCUGACUUGACAGAUACAGCCGAGCAGUUAAAAGGUUAUGGGAAUUUAAGUCCAUUAUGGUCAUACGAUUCUUAUGGACCCAGAGAUAUGAAAUUAAUCAGCCACAUGUGUAGGGACAAAGUUUGUCAUAAAUAGAUAUAAGUUAUCUGCAUGCUAAGAACUUAGUUACUUAACUCUGUUUCCUCAUGUUAAUAUAAACAUAAUUAUAGAAUGCAAAUGAAAUACUUAGCCUGGAGCCUAUUAUAUAGGAAGCACUCAAUAAUUUCAAACUAUUGAGUAUAUUAUUAGAUAGGCUCCAUAAUUAUUUAUUCCUUUUUCAACAGACAGUAUGAUCUAUUGAAAAUAAAGCCAAACUAGAUUUCUUUGACCCACUCCUUUUUCUGUUUGUAUUGUUGGCAAGUUGUUCUAAAUCAACUUGCCAACAUACUAUUAACAUGUUAUUAACAUAGAAGGGAUGCUUAUUUUGUUUGCUUUGUAAGAAAUGCUUCUGAUUCAGUAACUGGGCAAUUUAUUUAAAUAUAAGUAAAAAGCAGAUUUUAUUAAAAACUACUUUGUGCUAUCAUAAAUAAC